UACUCGCGGACAGCGCGCCUCGUUUUCCGCGCGGCAGCCGAGAGAGGACGGUUCGGAAAUAACUGCUAGCUAUGCGGGUGGGCGGGAAGAACUGCUACCUAUGCGCAUGGGAAAGCGGCUGAGCCUUCCAGUCGGUAGCUGGGCUCUUGGAGGGAUAUGGGUGUUUCCGGAUGUACAUCAGUCAACUGUGGGGAGACUGGAAAACAUGCUGGCAAUUCAAAAACGUUUAAAAAUGGUAAGGCAUCUGUGAGACGUGGUAUAUUCCUGGGUUUUUUUUUUUUCUUCCCGAUUUGAAAUACAUUGUUUCAUUUGAAGUAAUUUUAAGAGUUAGCUGUCAACAGGAUGAAUGUAAUGGUUCUAUAAUCCGUGGAUUCCUUAAUUUUAAGCCCUAUGUGGUUUGAAUUGUUGCUAAGUGCUGGGAUUUCUAGAAAUUUACAAGCUAAGUGUUUGUUUGAUAAAAAUACAGGUAGUGCAUGAAAGUCUGAAACAUAAAUACAAAAGAACUCAACGACCCAUUUAAAAGCGGUAAUAUUGCCAAUGCUGUGUUACCUCCCACCCCCAUUCCCCUGCCCCCCAUCUAGUAGUACCUAUCUCUAGUUUUGUGCCCAUCGGUUUCUUGAUCCUGUGGCUGGGAGGUGAGAUGGAUAGUUUAUUAUUCAUAUGUAUCUUUAAACAUAGGCAUUAUAAGAAUGAGUAUGCAUGUAGUUGUCUGUAGUUCCUGUGAAUCAUAAUACUAAACUGAAAUUUUCCAAAUUAGAAUUAUUCACAAGCAGUAAUUUUAUUCCUCAUACUCAAGUGAAAUAUUUCAGCAUUUCAAGACAUGAAAAUAAUGAUAGUUUAGCAGGGUCCAAACUUGUAUGUCUUCAUAAAUCACAUCAAUAAUUGUCUAGCUCAAUGAUUUAUACUCCUGAGGUGCUGUGUGACAUUUGUGUGGCCCUGGCCAUCUCCUUUGCCCUGUUUGUGUACAUUCAGUUAACUUAAACUUAAUUCUGUAGGAAUGUGUCUGGUAAUGCUGACAGUGUAAGGCAUCCCUUCUCUAAAACUACUAGAUUUGCCAUUGUACUGUUUUCAGGUGAAAAUCUUCACCCUAGUUUCUGUACAUCUAGCAUUUAACCUGACUUAGUGCAUUCUAGUCAAGCUCUAGGACAGAAAAGCAAUGGUUGUCUACUCAUUAGGACCAUUGUGUCUUAAAAUCAAUACUGUGAUGAUGAAGGAUAUAAAAUGUUUCCAUCAUUUAUGUAAUUUUUAGGUACUAACCAAUCAAAAGAUUUAAAACACUCAAGUCAUUAACAGAUGUUUUUAAAUUUUGCGUUUGUCAGUUAAUACUAUCAGAAGUAAUGAAACAGGAAUUGUGUUCUUUUAUUCCAUUAGAAAUGUAUUGAACAAGAGAUACUGGUACUUUUAUUAAAAAGUGGGUUGGAGUCCCAAAAGGUAGGUUGGGUUCCUUACAGGAAUGACAUUUUGUUGUUGUUGAGACAGGGUCCCACCCUAUGCCCCUGAGCAGAGUGCAGUGGGCGUGGUAGCUCACCACAGCCUCAGACUCAGGCUGCAGGCACCCCUCUGCCUCAGCCUCUGGAUGCCGCUGGGAUUACAUGUGCUCAAGGCAGCACCCGGCUGGGUUUUUCCAUUUUUUUCAUGAAUCGGGGUCUCACUGUCGCUCAGGCAAGUCUCUAACUCCUGAGCUCAAGCAAUUGAUUCUCCCUCCUCAGCCUCCCACAGUGCUGGGAUUACAGGCAUGAGCCACUGCGCCCGGCAGGAAUGAAAUUUUUAUUAGACUAUUCCUUCAUAUAACAUGCCAAACAAAUGCAAUUACAAAUGGGAAUUGACAGUGAAAAUUUAAUUUUUAGGUCUGACAAAUCCUAUGAAUUUUGAAGGUGUGUGAAGGUCAUUGUGACAGAUGUUUUCCAAAAGCUUAACAGAAAAUGGCAAUGAAAAAGUAGAACCGCCACUGCAUAUAUUGAGGUACAAAAAGUGUUAAAUGACAUCUUUUUGGGAAUCGUGGUGCUAUUGUUACUAACAAGCAAUACACAAAAUGUUUGAUGUGUUAUUGACGUUGAUAAUGGUGGCAUAAUGAUGACUUAAAUUUUUGCCGUUUACCCAGCUGAGGAUAUCUUUGAAGAAAUAAUUCUUAGACUGAGAUGCCAGUAAACUAUAUUGGUUUAUGUUAAUGGUAUGUAGUACAAUUUUUUACUAAGAGGCUAAAUGUUCUUUCUCCUUAGCACAUAGGUAGCUGCAGAUGGAUGUCCUUUAGCUGCAGUUUUUUGAAAUACUCCUUUGUUGCCUCAGAGGUGUGCCAUGCAACAUUAUGGAAGAAAGAACGAAGACUGCAAGAAAACAGAUGAACAGAAGCAAAUGAUGAAAAUGAAUAUUUUACUUGGUUUUACUAACUUCAUUAUAAAUGAUAUAGAAAAUAAAUGUAGGAAUGAAGAAAAAAUGAUUUCCUCAAGUCACUUAUUCAUCACUAGAGAAGAUACCUGUCCCUGGUCCAUACGUGUUCGAGCUGUCGUUGGCACUGAGUCAGGACAUUUGGGCUUCCAGGACAGUUUUGUCACAUCAGGUGUUUUCAGUGUGACUGAGCUAGUGAGAGUGUCACAGAGUAAGUAUAAUUCUGCUGUCAUUUGCUACAGAUCUGCCUUGGGUUUGUGCUUACUUUCUGCCUUGUACUCCUCGAGACAUAAAAAGCUUUCAGGUUCCCCUUUUUGUUUGUUUAUUGGGAGAAUUUUGACUCACGGUUUGGCUGCCAAAAAUUUAAAUCAGGAAAGGUUAAAUAUUAUUUUAAUGUGAGGCGUAAGGGAAGGACCAAAAUCCUGAUUCCAGGAUCCAGUUUUCCCUAAUAUAUAGUGUGAACUGGGUUAAAAAAAAAUCUGAGGCUUUCCUGACUUCUAAGAAAUUCUGCCUUUUAAAAGAAUUUGUUUUUAACCUUUAAAUGAUGCUAAUGGCCUCAGUGUGAGUGACAUAGCACAGGAUGAUCAUUACCAGCUUGUCAAUAAUCACCAACAACAGCGAACAAAGGGUACCUGUCACCACCCUGUUUGCUGAUCAAAGAUCCAUUGAUUGUGCCUUUGCUGUGACACAGGACAGCAGCCCAAGGACAAGGUGUGUGAUUUGCACCCUCCCUCUAACACACACACACACACACACACACACACAACUUCCCUAACAUCUUCUUAUUUUUAUUUAAAAUCAUACCUACAAUGACAAUGAUAUUCUAGGUCCCAAUAAAAAGAAGGAAAAAUAAAUACCAAAUAUGAAAAUUUUAUUUUUUAUCCUUCUGCUUACUUCAGAAUACCCACUUGUAGGUAAAGUGUAUGUUGUUAAAUUUAAUUUCAGGCAACAUCAAGCCCUUUAUACAAUGAGGCAGAGUAAGAAUAAAUAAUCCCAUUUCAAGUUCAUAGACCCCGUUCACUGUGUCACAGGCCUACAGGAUGGAUAAGUAAGGCAGGCCCUCUCAUGACAAGAUGCCAGGUCAAGGGAGGCAAGGCCGCCUGAUUUCACAGGCCUGGAUUCUGUCUCUUCCUAUUUUAGUUUUCUUAUUUUCUUAUUUAGAAAUUACCUCCUAUUUUACAGAUGAGUUAGAUGAUUGAGAACCUGUUUAUUUAUCCAAAGUCAAGUAGUGGGUAAAUGAUUAAGCUAAGUCUCUGUAAUGCUAGAAUCUAUACUCUUAAACUAGCCCAAAAAAAUUCAAAGAAAUCUGGCAGCACCCAUAGCUCAGUGGGUAGGGUACCGGUCAGCCACAUAUACCAAGGCUAGAGGAUUUGAAUCCAGCCGGGACCAGCUAGAAUCAACAAUGACAAAUGCAACAACAAAAAAUAGCAGGGCGUGGCAGGCACCUGUAAACCCAGCUACUUGGGCGGCUGAGGCAAGAGAAUCGCCUAAGCCCAAGAGUUUGAGGUUGCUGUGAGCCGUGUACCUCCACAGCAUUCUACCAAGGGUGACAUAGUGAGACUCUGUCUCAAAAAAAAAAAAAUAAAUAAAUAAAUAAAUUCAAAGAAAUGCAUAAUAUGAGCUUAGACAGGGAAAAGAGUGGGAAGAGUAUGGUGGGUGUUAGAAUUCUAGGGCUCACGGAGGCCCAACUGCAUGCCGAGCAGCUUAGCACCCCAAGGAGUGAGCAUUAGGAGCAGCAGGUUGUGAAGCUGUUGCCAUCUGACUGAAGUGGGCUUGAAGGGCCAUUGGGCCAGUGGAGCCUAGUGGCUUUGGAGGUGCGCUGCACACUGCCUAGUGCACAGCUGGUUAGCCAGUUAUUUGCCAUAGACAAGAACAAUGCGUGCAUAUAUCUGUUGUUACUUUUUAAGACUUUUGAAAAUGAUAAGUAUCCUACUAUUUGUAACCGUAUUAAUCCUUGUCAUAUAGAGAGUAUAUAUUAAAGUAUUCCUGUCAAUAGUAGCCUCGCAGGGAAAUGCAUUCAUUGAACCCCUAUGGGCAUCUAAAUGUAGCCUUAAAACAGUUGCAAACCAAAGCGGGGAUAGUCCAGGGACAUGCGAAAACGAGCUGUCCUUGACCCCUACCCUACUAGUAUGCGUCUGUAAGGGUGAAAAGGAAACCCUUUAAUGCCCAGGAUGGAGCUAGAGCAGGUUCCCCUGGGUGUGUGGUGCAUGGGUCAUCCUCCACGUCCCAGCCUGGGGUUGCAGGGAAGGCCCAGGCCGAGCAUCUCAUCCUUCUCCCACCUCCUGAGUUUUCCUUUAAGGCCUCGGUCCCGUCAGUCCCAAGCUUGAUUAGUCUUCCAUUCGGUCUAAGACAGCAUGGUCACCAGGUGAAUUCCAAACCUGCCUUCCCGACUGUCAGAGGGGGUGGCUGGAUGGGGUGGAAUUUGCAGAGGGACCUACAUUGGCCUCCUGUCCUGGUCUAGGGGGCUGCUCGAAUACUUUUUGAUCCUGCGCACUGCUGUGUAAUCGCUCUGGGACUCACUCACUCAGGGCCUGCUGCUGACAGAAAGUGUUUGGCACGAGUGGGUCCAAGCUGUGUCAGCUAAACCAUGGCUUCAGGCCAAGCUGGUCGACUGUAAUCCAGAGACCCUUUCUUUCUUGCAGAUCUUUAGGUUUGUCAGGGUGCAUUUCACAAGAUUGCCGUGGCUGCUGGGAUAGGGAUACCCCAGCUCAGAUCCCCUCACCCGCAGCCCUUUCUGAAGUACUUGAUCCUCAAGACACAUGACGGAGUUGACAUCCUUGACCAUUCCGUCCAGUCCCGCCCUCUUCCUCGUAUCCCUGUGUUGGAAGAACUAAGCUUCCAUUUCAGAGCUGCCGUGGCACUUUCUACAGAUGGGGGAGUGGGGUACAUUCUGUAUCCUUGAAGUAAAAAUAACCUAAUGGUCAUAUAGGUUGAUUAAACAUGCACACCCUGUUAGGAGUCUGAUAUAAUCCUAAUAUGAAAAAUCAUAGAAGCUAGCAUUCCUCAAGCUUAUACUGUGUACCGGGCACUGUGCUGGGCACUUUGGAAAUGUCAUCUCAUUCAGUCCUCCCCAGUUGGUGUCAGUGUCCCCUUCUACAGGGGAAGGGGUGCCAUGAUGCUCCAGGAGGGUAAGCAGCCUGCUCUUUUCCCUUUGCUGCGCUCAGCUAGCUGCACACGCACCUUUGUCCUGACCUCCCCACAAGUGCCUUAUAGAGCCAAACAGGAUACAAGAUGUGUGCUUUUAUUGAGUAAUAGUUCUUGUUGAUUUGAUAAAUUUAUAACGUACUACUUUGAGCACUAAAAAACGGUUUACACUAUCUUCUUGUAAACCAAAGCAAAUAAAACAAUUUUUUUCCUGGAUUGGUUUCCAGGUAUGAUUUUGUUUUAAAUUACUAGAUUUUUUUCCAACUAGAAUUUAGGUUUAUAGUUGUAGGCUAACUCAAAGUAAAGAUGUCCCUUCUACCUCUGUCCCCCCAGAACAGUUUCCCGUACUGUUGACAUCUUUUGUGAGGGUGGCACAUUUUUACAGAUUCAUGAGCCGAUGUUGAGGCAUACUCUACCCAGGGUGACAGCUUGAGGCUCUGUCUCAAAAAAAAUGAACAUAAAAGUGGAGGGUAAAGGACCUAGCCAAGGUCCUAGUGAAGCCUAGGAAAUAGGGUUGCUUUUAGAGUAUAACCCAUAUGCUUUAGCUUUUAUUUUACAUUAGUUGGGUCACACUAGGAUAGGUGGUUAACACGAUUAUUAUCGAGAAAUAUCACGAAGUGCGUCCUUCCUGCAUAACGGUGCUCUCCUAUCUGAGGAUAUGAAGACGUAUCUAAACUAAAGUACAUGGAUUUGACUUACAAGCAAUUUAUUUUAGUACUAAUAAAAUAAUUCUCAUUUCUAAUUCUGGGAGUCUUGUCCAUUGUUUGCUUUCUUUGGGGAACCAUUUCACUUCCAGCCCAUUGGCUCUUUGUAUCUGAAAUAACAAUAUGAUUGUGAUAUUUCUCUCUUUGGCUAACCUUAUGUGUGCAUUCCUCUAGAUAUUCAAAUUCAUACAAUUGCAAUAUUCCAUAAAACAAAAUAAUUUCAAAUUUCUUGUGUCCUGAGGUCUCUGUCACAGAUUUCCUUACAGUGCGUUAGUUGAAUCAUCGAUGAGAUAAGAUUAGAGAUCAUUGAUAGCCACUAUUGUCAGAAAUAUUUACAAGAAGGAACCUUUACAACAACCUUACAAUUGGCACUUAUGAAAACAGAGGGGUGAGAAAAUGGCCAUUACAAAUGACUUUUUAAAAAACAGAGGAAAGGAGCAAGUGAAAUAUUUUCUAAAAAACCUUAUAUGCAAUGAUGCUUCUAAAAAGUUAUGUGUGUGUUGAAUGUUGU